GUCUGUUCUGGCAGCACAUGUAUGAAAUUGGAGCAAAAUAGAGAUUAUUAAAUGGCCCCCAAGCAAGAAUGACAGGGACUUUCAUGAAAUGUUUCAUAUUUUU
rnacentral:snRNA from 1 species